rnacentral:siRNA from 1 species
UAUAUGUUAGACUGUUAGUACGU